CCAAGGAGUCUAACAUGUGCGCAAGUGAUUGAGUGGCAAACUCAUACGCGCAAUGAAAGUAAAGGGUAGUUCGGCUGCCUGACGUGAGAUCCUGGCUACCCGCGGGUGCUGGGCGCAUCACGGUCCCGUCCCAUGGGUAACGUCCCAGGGGCGGAGACAGAGCGUACAUGUUGGGACCCGAAAGAUGGUGAACUAUGCCUGAGCAGGAUGAAGCCAGAGGAAACUCUGGUGGAGGUCCGAAGCGGUUCUGACGUGCAAAUCGAUCGUCAGACUUGGGUAUAGGGGCGAAAGACUAAUCGAACCAUC
rnacentral:rRNA from 1 species